GUAUCAUUAGAGAUAUACCCUGUGGAUUUCAACGCCUCACCCAGAGGUGGAGUUAAGGUGUAGCUAUAGAGACACUAAGUGACCACCCCCUUGUGUCCAGACCUACAUCAAUCCAAAUGGAAACAUUUGGUUCUAUCUUCUCUUAUAUACCAUCCACAUAAAUAAUUAUUUGCUUUUACGAAUUAUUUUUCUAUUCCAUAGAUGUGUUAUAUGCCUUACUUGCGACCCAAUAUAGCAGAC